CUUUCCCUCCCCUUUCGGCAAAAACCCCAACGCCGAGCAGAGCCGUCCCCCUUCCCCACCCAACCACGGCCCCGUCCCGUACCCAACCCCAGCGAAAACCCUAGCCGGAGCAUCCACCCGAUGUCUCUCGGCAGGCCCUACCGCGGCAAUGCCGCCGCAGGCGGCGAUGAUCGACGCGCUGCGCCGCUCGGCAACCGGCGGGGCCAAUCCGCCGCCGCCGGCGGCGGCGGCGCGGCGCUGCCCGGCUCCCUCGGCCUCGGGAGCUUCCCGCGGCACGACCUCCCCGCCCCACCCGACGGGCUCGACCUCAACGCCGUCGUCGCGCCGCCGGUGAGCCAAGUUGCCCCAGCCCCAGCUCGUCCUUCCCAUGCCUGUGUACAAAAACUCCGAGAUCGUGUCCGUACCUUGGAGACUGCAUUUUCUGACGCGGAUAGGAUUUUAAGGGAUAUUCAAGGUGAAAUACAACAGAUGAGGGAGGAGGGGCAUGAGAAAGACAGGCAAAUCCGAUCUAUCGUUGAAGAUUCAGAGAAGGAACGUCGGUCAAGGCACAUUAGAAUCAAGCAAUUCGACCAUGAUAAAGAGCUGAUGCGUGGCACCCUUCAGGGAUACAAAGAAAAACUUAAGAAGUCUUCUGAUGCAUUUCUGGAGUAUAAGAGGAUGUGUGAAGGAAGUGGCGUGUCAUCUUCGGGUGUUAUGGCUGAUGAGCAAAAUCGUAUUCUUAUGAUGGAGAAGCAAUCAUGCGUAGAUAACAUUACUUGGUUUCGGAAAUAUAUGCUAUCGAGGUUUGGAGAAUGUGCUGAUGAGAUUGCAAUACUGGCAACAAGGACUGCAUACCUCAACAAUGAACUUCAAAGGCUGAAUGAUUAUAUACAAAUUCCAGAUCUCAACAAUGGGGGUCCUCAACUGUGAAUUCUACAUUGGAGACUACAAGGGUGAUGCAGGUGGCCAUUGAAGCUUUUGCCAUGAAGGAUGGGAACUGAAGAUGAGGAGGAUUGCAUAUAUUUUGGUGUUGCUGACAUAACCAAGAUGCCGCAACAUGGUGCCUUAAGUAUUAUUAGUUCUGUAGCCUGUACCCGCAUACCGUGCUAUGUAAAGCCUAUUAUCAAAGACUCAAAAUAGAUGAUUUUGGACUGAAUGGAGGCUUUGACAAAUUAUCGUCAUUUGAAUGGGUAUAUCUGAUGUAGAUUACUCCAGUCCUCCCAAGAAAAGAUUGAAGCACAGCAGUUCAAAUGGGAAUGAUCGUUAUGAAGGGAAACAAGAAACACUAAGAGACUUCUCCUUUUCUUUUGAUAUUUGUGAGUAAGUUACACUGGCUUGUGGAGUGGUAGAUGUUUUUCUCAUAACUUCACGCAGUUAGUUGAUUGUGUUUAUUUUUGUUCUUAAAAGGCUGAGCAAGUUCAAUCUUCAAGUGAUGUUUGGAUUUGAGGAAAAUGAUAUGAGUAGACUUACAUAAAAAGUGGACCCUGACUCUUUAGAUGGUAGCAGUGAUCCGCAAAGAGGUCUUUCAGGCAUGGUCACAUAUUCCUAGAGAUAAUGAAGUAAGGAACAAGCACAGGAUGUUUUGCACUUUGAAGCCUACUCGUUUGACAAGGCAGGGAAUAGUAAAGAACAGAAGGAGUCUGAUUUUAAGUAUUAGUGCUGUAUACUGGAUGUGUUUUUUAAAAUGCACAUCCUACAAACUUAAUUAAAAGGUACUCAUGAAAGGCUAAUGCUGUAUCUGUAUCACUCCCGAAUGUGCUUUUAAAAAAUGCAAGGAACACAAGCAUGCACCACCUGAAAUCUUCUUUCUCACCUGAAAUCUUUUCUAAACACUUAGGCAAAAACAUACACUGCAAUCCUGCAUCACCAAGGUUGUCAACAACCUCCUUUAAUGGCAAACAUGGGCAAGAAAUGAUCACUCUGCAAAACAGUGUGUUGGAUUAAAAUAUUAGUCUGCAGAUGUUUACUAUGAUAUGCAAAUCUUUCUGUCAUUUUUUAUUGCUGAGCUGUACAUAUUAAUGUGUUUGGUUCUCAUAGCAUUACAGUGUUUUAUUUGUUUGUUCAUUUACACGGAUCAAACGGUAUAUACCUAGCUUCUUUCUUCUGGUAUCCUCUCAUCACUUUGAUGUGAUUCUACUUGAAUGAUUCUUGCGGUGAAUGGGAAUUUUGGAUGGAUAU